GCUGGGUGUGGUGGCGCACGCCUGUAAUCCCAGCACCCCAGGAAGCUGAGGCAGGAGGAUCCCGAGUUCAAAGCCAGCCUCAGCAACAGUGAAGCACUAAGCAACUCAAUGAGACCCUGUCUCUA
rnacentral:sRNA from 1 species